AACGAACGCUGGCGGCGCGUCUUAAGCAUGCAAGUCGAACGGCAAGAUUGGUGCUUGCACCGAUCCUAGAGUGGCGGACUGGUGAGUAACGCGUGGGUGACGUACCCUAAGGAUGGGGAUAGCUGGUAGAAAUAUCAGGUAAUACCGAAUAUCCUUAUUGUUGUUAGAGGACAGUAAGGAAAGGAGCUUUGGCUUCGCCUAAGGAUCGGCCCGCGUACUAUUAGCUAGUUGGUGAGGUAACGGCUCACCAAGGCGACGAUAGUUAUCCGGCCUAAGAGGGUGAACGGACACAUUGGGACUGAGAUACGGCCCAGACUCCUACGGGAGGCAGCAGCUAAGAAUAUUCCGCAAUGGAGGAAACUCUGACGGAGCGACGCCGCGUGGA
rnacentral:rRNA from 1 species